rnacentral:rRNA from 1 species
GUGCCAGCAGCCGCGGUAAUUCCAGCUCCAAUAGCGUAUAUUAAAGUUGUUGUGGUUAAAAAGCUCGUAGUUGAACCUUGGGCCUGGCUGGCCGGUCCGCCUCACCGCGUGCACUGGUCCGGCCGGGCCUUUCCCUCUGUGGAACCCCAUACCCUUCACUGGGCGUGGCGGGGAAACAGGACAUUUACUUUGAAAAAAUUAGAGUGCUCCAGGCAGGCCUAUGCUCGAAUACAUUAGCAUGGAAUAAUAAAAUAGGACGCGCGGUUCUAUUUUGUUGGUUUAUAGGACCGCCGUAAUGAUUAAUAGGGACAGUCGGGGGCAUCAGUAUUCAACUGUCAGAGGUGAAAUUCUUGGAUCAGUUGAAGACUAACUACUGCGAAAGCAUUUGCCAAGGAUGUUUUCAUUAAUCAGGAACGAAAGUUAGGGGAUCGAAGACGAUCAGAUACCGUCGUAGUCUUAACCAUAAACUAUGCCGACUAGGGAUCGGACGGUGUUAUUCAUGACCCGUUCGGCACCUUACGAGAAAUCAAAGUGCUUGGGCUCCAGGGGGAGUAUGGUCGCAAGGCUGAAACUUAAAGAAAUUGACGGAAGGGCACCACCAGGGGUGGAGCCUGCGGCUUAAUUUGACUCAACACGGGGAAACUCACCAGGUCCAGACACAAUAAGGAUUGACAGAUUGAGAGCUCUUUCUUGAUUUUGUGGGUGGUGAUGCAUGGCCGUUCUUAGUUGGUGGGGUGACUUGUCUGCUUAAUUGCGAUACGAACGAGACCUUAACCUGCUAAAUAGCCCGCAUUGCUCCGGCAGUGCGCUGGCUUCUUAGAGGACUUUCCGGCUCAAGCCGAAGGAAGU